GGGAAGAAAAAUCUGUCUUUAUUAUUCUAUGCUGAAGCAAAUAUCCAACAUCUAGACAUGGUUGGCCACUGUCAAGCUUAGAUUUUCUGGUAUAAAUCUGGAGUGAUUCCAUUGACCUCAACAGGUUAAGGGCAAGUGCCAGCAAAUGACUUCUGCACUUAAAGUUAUACAGUAUAAUACCAGAUUUUUUUGUAUAGUAUCUGGCUCUGGCUUUUUGUCCAAGUCUAAGCUUAUUGUGAAGUUGGUAACAAGAGCUUGGUGCUCAGGAAAGCGAUGCAACAAGGAAAUGGAUGUCUGAAAUUAGUAUAUUCAAGCCAGUAGGGAAAUGCAUUUCUGCAGACAGGUAUAGUUUUUGUUUCAAAGGUGGGUUGCCCUUGUAAAAAGUGGCUGGAGUUUCUUAUUUAUUUAUUUAUUUAUUUAUUUAUUCAUUCAUUCAUUCAUUUAGCAAUCUCAGAGAAGAAGCAGGAACACCAGGUUUAAUUCCUUCACUUGUUGAGGAAGAUUCAGAAUCUCCCUUUGCAUGGAGGAGCUCAGAACUCCAGGUGGAAGACAAGAUGGUUGCGGACACGGAGGACUUUCCAGUCUGCCAAAUCUCCCACAAGGCACCUUACAACUGUGGUCAUUACAGAAAAGUUAUUUCCGUCACCCAAAAACCUUGUAAGGUAACAUUGUCACAUUCCAGCUUGUACAAGUAAAAUGUGUUCUGCCUUCUUUACAUCCCACUAAUGCUGAUCUAACUUUCAGUGAAGAUAGGCUGAUAACUGAGAGGUACUAUUGCAGCAGGACUCAUCCUGGGUUCUUUUUGUCUUCCAAAGUGAAAAUAAGCAAGUGUUGGAUAGUUUAACACUGGAGUUUUAGCCUCCGAACACAAAUGUUAAAUUAAGUGUUUUAUGUAUGUGUGUGUUUGCAUGCACAAGUGCAUGAAUAUAUCAUCUUGGCAAUAUAGACAAAAGUCUUCAAGAAUCUCUGAGCAAUAUGGUCAGCAUUGUGCAGAACUGCAAUCUUGGAGUAGUUGAGGUAUGUUCAUGUUGAGUCAUGCUUUGACAGUUUCUAUUUCUCACUCCUUUUUACUCAUUUUAUUUUAAGAUAUUUCUACUGUUCAUUAUUUCACAGUGCAACGAAGCUCACAGAUUUUAGCAGGUAUACGUUAAUACGCAUCAACCAACAUAAGAGUACAGAAAUGAGGACCUAUAAUGCUCAUGUUAGAGAAGGAUCUAAUAAUGAUGUUGGUAAAUAGCUUAAAGUAUGAGGAUGUAUAGUAAUAGAAUCCCUUUGAAAUUCACAUUUAUCUCAUCACACUCCACAUAUAUCAAAACAAUAUUGCACCAAUGGGAAACAGACAUUAUUAUAUAAAUCUUUCAAGAACAAUAUUUAGGUGGUCUAAACUCCCUAAGUAGGAAUAUUUGUGCCAUAGGCUGAUUGGACAUGCCCUUUCCUGAAAUAUGGGUUGUAACCUGUGAAAGAAGAUGCUUUCUCCUAAAGACAUGUGCAGCUAGUAAAGGAUGAGACAUGCUAGUACUACGAAUCAGGAAGGUAACAGCAAGCUCCUGUCUGGAAACCAUGCUGCUUCAUAGAACUGAGUCUCUGCUAACCAGUUGUGAGAGUAGGCAAGAAGUACAUGUAAGGAAGAGGGACCUACAAUCAUAGCUUGGUGUAUCUCCUGGAAUAGAGCUGAGUUGUGAUCUGUCUGUUCAUGCUACAGGCAUAGCUAGUAAGUGACUGUACCUGGCAAAAUAAACAUGCCCAUACACUGGAUAUUGGAUAACACCGACUUGCACAGGAUGUACAGGGUCCUUAGGGCAUCUCUGUGAGGUGUGAGCCUGGAUUUGCUCAUCUAUUACUCUUUUUUUGAUGUUGUUGAAAAGCAAAUUGCAGUGCAGCGCAUAACAGUGAAAUUAACCUCAAAGGGAACAGAAAAUGCUCUUUGCUAAAGUAUGGGAAUCACACGAUGUGCUUUCUUUUUUAAAAUCAAAUGUUUGUUAUUUGGGGCAUGGAGAAGAGAAAGGAGGUAUGGAUUUUGAUUACAAAAAAUUAUUUUUGAAGAAAUAGAAUCUAAACAUUUUGAAAAUUAAGCACAGAAGCCUG
ensembl:lncRNA